AACGGGUCGGGCCUAACGGGUAGC
rnacentral:miRNA from 1 species